GCCCCGGCCGGCCCAGCGCUGAGGGAGCCGCAGCAACGCCCACACGGGGGGAAAAUCAUGCCGUGGUGAUAAAGCGACUGUGUGAAGUCACAGAGGUACUGCCUGGCAAUAAGCGCAUUGUUGGAGGUGCCACAUCCAGGGAUAGAGACUCCACCUCUGCCCUGUGUCAGGGCCUGACAACCCCUCCUGUGAAGCAAUGUCUUGAAGACAAGAGGAACAGAACUGCAUGCCAACUGUAUCCUGAGCGCAGAACUACUCCUGUGACCAUGGAGCAUUCAACAAAGGUUAUGAGUAUUAUCUGUUACAGCACAAGUAUCUCUGCCUUUGAUUGGAGCUCCUGGACAGCUCACAGGACUCCUUCCUCCAAACAUCCCAUCCUACACUUGGCAGUAAUUUGGUCCUUGCCCUUAGAAGUAAAUCCUUUGGCUUAAGGUAAAUAUCUAACCUAUUUUCCUUUUAUUUUACUUCUUGUUAUAACUUCACUUUGUGAUCUUCAUGGCAAAAGAUGAAGUAGGUCAUUAUUGCAUACGUCAAAUUAGCCUGGAGAAAUUAGCCUGGGGAAAGAAGGCUCAGGAAGGACCUUGUGGUUCUCCACAACUCCCUGACAGGAGGGGGCAGCCAGGUGGGGGUCAGGCUGUGCUCCCAGGGAACAAGGGACAGGAGGAGAGAAAUAGCUUCAACUUGUUCCAGGGGAGGUUCAUGUUGGAUAUUAGGGGGAAAUUCUGCCUGGAAGGGGUUGUCAGUCCUGACACAGGCUGCCCAAUGCAU